GGUGAACGCUGGCGGUAGGCCUAACACAUGCAAGUCGAACGGCAGCACAGUAAGAGCUUGCUCUUACGGGUGGCGAGUGGCGGACGGGUGAGGAAUACAUCGGAAUCUACUUUUUCGUGGGGGAUAACGUAGGGAAACUUACGCUAAUACCGCAUACGACCUACGGGUGAAAGCAGGGGAUCUUCGGACCUUGCGCGAUUGAAUGAGCCGAUGUCGGAUUAGCUAGUUGGCGGGGUAAAGGCCCACCAAGGCGACGAUCCGUAGCUGGUCUGAGAGGAUGAGCAGCCACACUGGAACUGAAACACGGUCCAGACUCCUACGGGAGGCAGCAGUGGGGAAUAUUGGACAAUGGGCGCAAGCCUGAUCCAGCCAUACCGCGUGGGUGAAGAAGGCCGUCGGGUUGUAAAGCCUUUUUGUUGGGAAAGAAAAGCAGCAGGUUAAUACCCCGCUGUUAUGACGGUACCCAAAGAAUAAGCACCGGCUAACUUCGUG
rnacentral:rRNA from 1 species